UACCAUACUUCUAAGAAAACAGCGGCUCCGGUUCUUCAACUCUCUUUCUCGUCUAAAUUCUUUCUAAUCAAAAACAACGCAUGCUAUCACCAUUAAGAUCAGCAGCUCGGUGAUUGAAGUGGGUUUGGAGAUGAUUUCAAUUAGAGAUUCAUGAUGGUUUUUCACUGUUUUAACUAUGGUUUGAAUUGGAACCUCAUUAAAACCCUAAAAAUCCAUUGUUGGAAGAAAAAAAGAUGAAGAAUUUGGGGUUUUUUUUAUCAUGCAUCAAUGGCUAGAUCAAUGGCUUUUUGAAUGGAAUUUGUACGUGAAUAUGGUGGAAGAAUUUCAGUGAAGGAAGGAGAACCCGGCUAUGCUAUUAUGGUUUUUUUUUGUCUGUAGGAUUUCUCACACUCAAUAAACACGUUCAAUUCACUGUAUGCUCUAGUGUAUUAACAAGAUUCGGUUGUGUGCUUGAGUAUAUUAAUAUGUUAAUUGAAUCCUGUACGUUAGCUAGAUGAUGUAGAAGGUAAUGAACAUAAACAGGGGUAAGCAAUUUAAAUUGACAUAAAACUGGGUGUUUAGGAUUUGAUAAUUGUGUAUGUAUACGGCUCUUUGAAUCUAACUAAUUGAUUUCUACCGAUUGUAGUUGAAUCUGACAUCAAAUUUGAUGGUUUGAUUAA